rnacentral:sRNA from 1 species
GUGCAUGUACAUGUACCGGGGUAUGUUUAAAGAAUCUUAUUGAUAUGUGUUCUAACUAAUUAUAUUAAUAGACUCCAUAUCUCUCAAUUAAAUAUUGACUGCUUUACAGAAAUAAUUGAGUUCAAUUGGCCAUUAGAGAAACUUAUGGUAUUUGUGGUAAUGCCAGAUGAGAAUUCACUAAAUGCUUUUUCACAAACAUAAGUAAAGCAAGUGGUAUGUUUUAAAUAAAAAAGCUUAUACAAUUAGACUUUAGAUGAAAUGAAAUACAUAUUUAAAAGUACUGUGAUGUAUUUGCAUGUUUAUAAUCGGUAGAGAUCACCAUCUAUUAUAUUUAAUUUUCAUCUGUAAAUAGUGUGAUUUGUGUGAAUGACUUUUGUAACAGUGCUUUUAUAUUCAUACAGUUGGUUGAAGUUUGUUACUCUUUAAAACAUGUUCUGUACAGUUUUGUAUGUCAUCCAUGUACAAAUGAAUUGAAUACUAUUUUAAUAAAUGUUAAAAUGAAACUUCUGAAUGUAGAAUGC